rnacentral:rRNA from 1 species
AUUGAACGCUGGCGGCAGGCCUAACACAUGCAAGUCGAACGAGGGGCGGACGGGUGAGAAAUGUCGGGGAAACUGCCCGAUGGAGGGGGAUAACUACUGGAAACGGUAGCUAAUACCGCAUACCAGCGGAUGUGCCCAGAUGGGAUUAGCUAGUAGGUGGGGUAACGGCUCACCUAGGCGACGAUCCCUAGCUGGUCUGAGCGGAGGACCAGCCACACUGGAACUGAGACACGGUCCAGACUCCUACGGGAGGCAGCAGUGGGGAAUCUUGCACAAUGGGCGCAAGCCUGACGCAGCCAUGCCGCGUGUAUGAAGAAGGCCUUCGGGUUGUAAAGUACUUUCAGCGAGGAGGCGGUACCCGCAGAAGAAGCCCCGGCUAACUCCGUGCCAGCAGCCGCGGUAAUUC